AGUUACCAGCAUUUUGCUCCACCUAUUUUGAUGACUAAUGCUCAAUGCCUUCUUUCCCUUAGGCUGAAAGGCUGGGAGCCUGGGGGCCACCGUUUACACCCUGGGUGUGGCUGAUUAUAAGAUAGGCCAGGUCAUUCUGAACUAGUAACCAGGCACCACUCUGGAGCUGAGUGGAGAAAGGCAUCCCAGGCGGCUUUCCCAGGGCCACCACAAGGACAGUCAUCUAACUUGCCCCCAAGUGAUUUGGGCCAACCCAUGGCCACUGCAGAAGUGACUGACAGCGUGUUGUAGAAAUCCCACCACACCAAAAGCGGGGGCGGAAGAGUUCCCCACUCCCUGAUAGUGGGCUGCUGGCUAGAGAAGGCUGUGGCCCUGACAGCCUGACAUUCUGCUGCCCCCAAAGCAUGGGGGCAAGACACUGUCCCCUGAGCCUGUGACCUGCUGCAUCCUCACCUCCUGGGUGGGGGUCCAAGCCACGUUCCCUCUCUGAAGAUAACAACAAUUGCCCACAGCCUGGACCGCAUGUUUGCAGUGGGUCAUGGAGUUUCUGAACAGCAUGGCCUAGUGGACAGAAUCGGAACACAAGGUGUCUUGAGGUGAAGUCUGUGGAGCCUCCACUAUGUGUGCAGGAGAAAAAAAAACAAUCAGUAUGGACAAGACUUUCAUGACUUGCCCUGGACCAAAGAUUAAAAACAACCUGGACAGAGGUCUUUGUUGAAGCCAGCCUGAACAAUGGCAGAAAUGUCCUUUCUAAUGACAUCACUAUGAAGAGCACCACCUGUACUGUCAAGGAUCCACCACCUGUGCAGAAGCCAGAAAAAGUAAGUCGCAGUUCCGGUCCCGAUAUUGUCACAUCCCAAGGAGCCCACUGACCUUCACCAAGAGUGCCAUGAAGGCUGCGCCCCAUGACCUCCACCUGCCGAGGCAGAGAAGAGGGUGACAGAGGGGCAGAGUGAAGCCUGAGAAGGGUGGGGACUCACAGUGAUGUCCCCAGCACGCCCUUCCCACUCCCUGCACCCCUCAAAAUGAGGCUUCUCACCAAUUCACAGCCUGGGGUGGCCAGUUUCAGCAACUGUGAUGAUCUCUCCUGAAUAAAUGGGGCUCGCCUCUCAAUAUUCCACAGAGCAUGUAUAAGAUGCUAAGGACGGAGGCGCUCUGGAAAAGGAGCCCCGUGUUUUAGGGACCUGGCCCCGUCCCCAGGCUCCGGAUGCAGAUGUGGCUCCAUUUGGCCUCUCUGGAUCCCUGUCUCCUGGCAGGGACGAGGGGCUGGCUGGGGUUAGCUUCUAGGGAUGCGGGAGUCCUGGCAGGCACCGAACUGGGAGAGACACCCAGCCCAGUGAACACAGGGGCCAGGAGUCUGGAAGCAGGCUUCUGGGCCAGGGACCCACCCCAGGGGCCAUAGGCUGUGGUGAGGGCAGUAGCUGACGCAGGAGGCCCUGGGCCUGGGAUGGGGUGGGAACAGGCCUCCCUGGCCAAGGCUGGCCUCUGCGGUGCUCCAGAGUGGGCUCAGGGAGGCUGCAUCUGCAACCAGGUGGAUGCAGACAGUCAUCUGCAAAUGCUGGGACUGUUGCACAGCCCCCAGAGCAGGCCUCUUUCAACAGGGCUGGCCGCGGAAGAAACAAAGGGACAGAGACGAAGUCGUUGGCAUUUAGGGGAAAAACCAUGUCUGCAAACCAGGAGGAGUUUGCAUGUUUCUCACACAAAAGAUUCUCCCCUGUGGUGUGGGCUCCUCACUAGUCCUUUCAUUCCCCAGAUACACAUCUGGGAGUGGUCAGCACUGUGCCUGGUGCUGAGGCAACGACACCAUGGCCUUGCAC
rnacentral:lncRNA from 1 species